rnacentral:rRNA from 1 species
UACGAAGGGGGCUAGCGUUGCUCGGAAUCACUGGGCGUAAAGGGCGCGUAGGCGGACUUUUAAGUCGGGGGUGAAAGCCCAGGGCUCAACCCUGGAAUUGCCUUCGAUACUGAGAGUCUUGAGUUCGGAAGAGGUUGGUGGAACUGCGAGUGUAGAGGUGAAAUUCGUAGAUAUUCGCAAGAACACCAGUGGCGAAGGCGGCCAACUGGUCCGAUACUGACGCUGAGGCGGCG